rnacentral:lncRNA from 1 species
GUGGUGACUAUGUUGAACGCAUCUAUCCCAUCAAACUAUAUAUAAAGGUUACUACAGAUGCAGUUACGCCGGCCUCAUAUCUUGACUUACAUCUAAAAAUGGACAAUGAUGGUUGGUCGAAAACAAAACUUUACGACGAAAGAGAUGAUUUCAGUUUUCUAAUUGUGCACUUUCCAUUUCUAAGUAGCAACAUUCCAUCAGCACCUGCAUACGGUGUAUAUCUCCCAAUUGAUACGAUAUUCCCGUGCAUGUAUUUCCUAUCCUAAUUUUUUUGAUAGAUGGUUGCUGCUCACAAGGAAGCUAUUAAACCAAGAGUUCCAAAUGGUGAAGCUGAAAUCAUCUCUUCUUAAAUUUUACGGACGCUAUCAUGAGUUGGUUGGCAGUCACAGAUGCUAUCAUAUAUAUUACUUACGACGUAACUACAAUCCUCUUCCCCUUCAUGAAUGUGACCUACCUAAUUAGACUAUUUCCCGGAUUUGUUAUAACAUGUGCAACACGACGGGUGCCACAUGUGGAGCAGGAUCUGCUUACCCUUCCAGAGCAUCUGAGAUCAACCCCAGUUUUUGCUGGGGUUCGUGUUGCUUAUUCUUCAUUUUCUUUAGUUUUCUAUGUUGUUUCAUGUGUACAAUAGUUUGUCUGUUUGUAAAUUUCAUUCUUAGCCAUUGCGAUGUCAGUUUUUUUUUCGAUUUAUGAGUUUUACCGUCUUUUUUUGACUGUUCCUGAUAUCUUUGGUCCCUCUUUUGUAACGUGUCGGUACAAACAACAAUCCGUUUAGCGAGUAUUUUGCGUGUUUUUCUUAUUCUAUUAAAGCAAAUAUUAUGAACCAUUUUAUUGAUUUUUAAAUUAUUUUCUUAAAGUUGUAUUCGAGUGUUCACAAUAUUUAUUCAUCGAACCAAAUCAAAAUCAUGAAUCAGAUUUUUGCCGGUAAUUCCAAUUUACAAAUAUGAUGAAACGGUAUCAUUAAUACUGUAACGAGUGACAAUAUUACCAAUGUAUAUAUUUAUCAUUUAUUCAGAAAGUUUUUAUCUCCAGGUCUCGAACGAAGUUGAGAUUCCAAAACUGAUAAAAUGGUCAUUGAGAUCAUCUUACAAAUUUAAUGUUUCGCAGUCUUGAUGUCUGUUAAAAGGAGCAUAAUGUUCUAUAAUGGCGUCUAAUGUAACUGGUGUAUAAUUAACAAGAAUGUGACCCAAGUACACGGAUGCCCCAUCCGCACUAUCAUUUUCUACGUUCAGUGGACCGUGAAAACGGGAUAAAAUCUCUAAUUUGACUUUAAAAUUAGAAAGAUCAUAUAAUAGGAAACAGGUUUACUAAUUUCUUCACCAAAAACUACCUCGA